UACGGAGGGAGCUAGCGUUGUUCGGAAUUACUGGGCGUAAAGCGCGCGUAGGCGGUACUGUAAGUUAGGAGUGAAAUCCCCGGGCUCAACCUGGGAACUGCUCUUAAGACUGCAGAACUUGAGGACGAGAGAGGAAAGUGGAAUUCCUAGUGUAGAGGUGAAAUUCGUAGAUAUUAGGAAGAACACCAGUGGCGAAGGCGACUUUCUGGCUCGUAUCUGACGCUGAGGUGCGAAAGCGUGGGGAGCAAACAGG
rnacentral:misc_RNA from 1 species